rnacentral:misc_RNA from 1 species
UCUCCGUUGGUGAACCUGCGGAGGGAUCAUUAUCGUAUAAUCGAGCUGAUAAGCCUGUCGCUGACUCGAUACCUGUUGCACCCCCGUGUGCCCUCCCACACCUUCCUCUCACCCCUAUUCGCACCACCGCGUGGGUCCCCCCUAGGCUUGUUCGGAGGGGAGCCGACGUUUUAACACUUUCUUCGUCUGCAGUGUUGAAUCUAUCUUCUGUUUUUGAGACCACGCAAUCAAUACAACUUCCAACAACCGAUCUCUUGACUCUCGCAUCGAGUAAGAACG